UACGGUAGGGGGCGAGCGUUGUCCGGAAUUAUUGGGCGUAAAGAGCGUGUAGGCGGUUCGGUAAGUCUGCUGUGAAAACUCGAGGCUCAACCUCGAGCUGUCGGUGGAAACUGUCUGACUAGAGUCCGGAAGAGGGAGAGUGGAAUUCCUGGUGUAGCGGUGAAAUGACGCAGAUAUCAGGAAGAACACCUAUGGCGAAGGCAGCUCUCUGGGACGGUACUGACGCUGAGACGCGAAAGCGUGGGGAGCGAACAGG
rnacentral:rRNA from 1 species